rnacentral:rRNA from 1 species
CGGAGCCCCCAAGCGGGGUGACGGCGUACCUUUUGUAUAAUGGGUCAGCGACUUCAUGUGCCGAGCAAGCUUAAGCCGUUAGGUGUAGGCGCAGCGAAAGCGAGUCUGAAUAGGGCGCUAAGUUCGACGUAUGACGACCCGAAACCAGGUGAUCUAUCCAUGAGCAGGUUGAAGGUUAGGUAACACUAACUGGAGGACCGAACCGGUGAAUGUUGAAAAAUUCUCGGAUGACUUGUGGAUAGGGGUGAAAGGCCAAUCAAACCUGGACAUAGCUGGUUCUCCGCGAAAUCUAUUUAGGUAGAGCGUCCGACGAAUUCCCUGGGGGGUAGAGCACUGGAUGGUUGCGGGCUGCGCGAGCGGUACCAAUACUAACCAAACUCCGAAUACCCAGGAGAACUAUCGGGCAGACACACGGCGGGUGCUAACGUCCGUCGUGAAAAGGGAAACAACCCUAACCAUCAUCUAAGGCCCCCAAGUCAUGGCUAAGUGGGAAACGAUGUGGGAUUGCUUUGACAAUCAGGAGGUUGGCUUAGAAGCAGCCAUCCUUUAAAGAAAGCGUAACAGCUCACUGAUCAAGCGAUCCUGCGCGGAAAAUGUAACGGGGCUAAAGCCAUGCGCCGAAGAUAUGGGUUUGCAGUUUACUGCAAGCGGUAGCGGAGCGUUCCGUAGGCCGGUGAAGGUCAACCGUGAGGUUGGCUGGAGGUAUCGGAAGUGAGAAUGCUGACAUGAGUAACGAUAAACAGAGUGAGAAACUCUGUCGCCGAAAGACCAAGGGUUCCUGCGUAAAGCUAAUCUGCGCAGGGUUAGUCGGCCCCUAAGGCGAGGCUGAAAAGCGUAGUCGAUGGGAAGCAGGUAAAUAUUCCUGCACCAGCUGGAAGUGACGGAUGGCAUAACUUGUAAGGGCUUAUUGGAUUGUCCUUGCAGGGGCGUUGUCCCUGGAAAUAACUCCAGCAGAGACCGUACCCGAAACCGACACAGGUGGUCAGGUAGAGCAUACCAAGGCGCUUGAGAGAACUGUGCUGAAGGAACUCGGCAAAUUGCACGCGUAACUUCGGAAUAAGCGUGACUCACCCUGCGCAAGCAGGAAUGAGUGGCACAAGCCAGGGGGUAGCGACUGUUUAGCAAAAACACAGGGCUCUGCGAAGCAGCAAUGCGACGUAUAGGGUCUGAC